UACGUAGGCAGCAAGCGUUGUUCGGAGUUACUGGGCGUAAAGGGUGUGUAGGCGGUUGGAUAAGUGUGGUGUGAAAUCUCCCGGCUUAACUGGGAGGGUGCGCUACAAACUGUCUGACUAGAGUGUGGGAUGGGUAAGUGGAAUUCCUGGUGUAGCGGUGAAAUGCGUAGAUAUCAGGAAGAACACCUAUGGCGAAGGCAGCUCUCUGGGACGGUACUGACGCUGAGACGCGAAAAGCGUGGGGGAGCGAAACAGGG
rnacentral:rRNA from 1 species